rnacentral:lncRNA from 1 species
GAAUACACAGGGCAGCAUUCAAAGCUGGUUGAUUCUUUUAUCUCAGCACUGCGAUACCGUUUGCUUACAGCAGGUGCCUCUACAAAUGAUAUCCUGCACCAAUAUGUUUCAACUAUUAAAGCACUUCGGACAAUAGACCCAGCUGGUGUAUUCCUUGAAGCAGUUGGUGAACCAAUAAGAGAGUAUCUGAGAGGGAGGAAGGAUACCAUUAAAUGCAUUGUUACAAUGCUUACUGAUGGAACUAGUGGGCCUGGAAGUGUUGGAGAUAGCCUUCUUGAAGAAAUAAACAGAGAUGAAGAAAACCAAGAUAGUGCUGGUCUAGAUGAUGAAAUAAGCACUGACGACAAACAAGCAUGGAUAGAUGCUGAACGGUAUGUGUGCUGUUAUUUGUGAUUACACGAUUUUCAGACUUCAUGAUUAAACUUGUUACUUAACUUCAGACUCUAGCAAGUAUUGUAAUUAAAUACUCCAUUCAGGUGGGAACCUGAUCCUGUAGAGGCUGAUCCAUUGAAGAGCAGCAGGUGUAGAAGAAAAAUUGAUAUACUUGGGAUGAUUGUUAGCAUUAUCGGUUCAAAGGAUCAGCUAGUUAACGAGUACCGUGUCAUGCUUGCAGAAAAGCUUCUUAAUAAAACUGAUUAUGACAUUGACUCUGAAAUACGUACUUUGGAACUCCUCAAGGUCAGGGAUCUUGAAUUAAAUUGGGAAAUUGAAUUCUUGUUGGUUGUGGUUUAUUUUUACUUGUGCUCUUCAUCCUGUUAUCUGAAGUUCAGCAGGUUUCAGUAUUGUAUUCUAAUGUUUAGCUCUGGUGUCUUGGUUCCAGAUACAUUUUGGAGAAAGCAGUAUGCAGAAGUGUGAAAUAAUGCUUAAUGACUUGAUUGAUUCUAAAAGAACAAACACAAAUGUAAAAACAACGAUAAAACAGAAAGUGCAAUCAGGUAACCUCCAAAAUUAGUCUUUACAUAAUUAGAUUGUUAAUAUGAAAAGAAAUUGUUUUUCUGAUCAUUGAUAUCGUUCAUAAAUUUUGUUGGUAAAUUCAUAUAAAACGUAUAGCAUUUUUUGUUUUGUUUAUGACAGGUGUCGACCAUAAAGAGAAUGAAAUACCAAUGGAUGUGUUUGAUGCCACAAUCAUAUCUUCGAAUUUUUGGCCACCUAUUCAGGUAUGAUGAUGAGUUUGCAUUUUGACAAAUCUCAAAAACCUUUGAUACCUCAAUCUAACAGUAACAUAUAGUUCUUAAUAUUGUUAUUGUGCUGUGCCUAUGUUUAGGUUUAAAUUUUUAGCCACAUAUUAUUGUGCAUUCUGAAUAUUGUUCACAUCUGUGCUGAAGAUUAUAUCAUUUUUACUCUACCUUCUGUAUGUGGUCAACAGUAUAAGUCUGGUGUGCACCUCACAAGGUAUAUUUUAGGUUAGCCCAGUGCUUAAAAGGUACAAACUCACACAAGUGCAAGAGGUGAUUCUAAGGGGGUACUUGUAAAGUGCAAUUUAACAUACCUUAUAUGCUUAAAAACUUUAAAAAUGAAAGAGUCGAUUCUUAUAUGCUACUUGCAAAGUGCGAAUGAAAGCAGACUUUUAUGCCAAAUUAGAAAUAGUGGAAAGGGUUCUGAUAUAUAUACUCCUAGAUAAAUUGUUGCUACUUCAAAUAGUUAACCAUAUAAUGCAUUGCUCAUAGACUUAUUUUGAAUAGAAAUAUGUCACUAGACAUCAGUCGACGAAAUUCAACAACUUAGCACCUUAAAAUCAUUUAGCAAAAUUUUGUCCCUCACAUUAUUUCUCUUCUUCAUCAUCUUUGUUGGGUAUCAACCCAAUAGGAAUAGGAUUCUGAUUUGAGUUAGAAAUUAGAAUUGGAUUAGGAUUAUGAUUAGGUAUAUUAGAGUUAGAUUCUGAUUUGUCUAAGUUUGAUGGCUAUAUAUACAUAGUCAUAUUGUUUGAUAGGUAUGCUUGAGUAUUGGUAGGCUUGAGUAUCCUAGCUUGGUGGAUUGUAUUAUUGAUAACGGUUUUGAUUAAUAAUACAAGUUGGGACGUGGAUUUUCUGCGUCAUAUAAUUUUGUGUGUGUGCUUUGUAUUAGAAGAUUGAUCUCGUAUAUUAUUCCUAACAAGUGGUAUCAAGAGCUCAGGUUCAUGAUGGAUAAGAUGGGAGGAAAAUUCGAGAUUGAAUUGUUUGAUGGCAGAAACAAUUUUACUUUAUGGCAGAGCACAGUGAAAGAUUUGUUAAUUCAACGAGGAUUAUAUGCAACUCUCGAGGAUAAGAAGCCCGCUGAUGUGGAUAAUACAAAGUGGGAAGAUAUGAAAUUGCGUGCUGCGUCGACUAUCCGGUUGGCUCUUGCACCGGAAAUCAAGUAUGAUGUUCUUGAGGAGAAUAACCCUAAAAAUUUGUGGGAGAAGUUGACAAAGACAUAUCACUCAAAGUCUUUGGCCAACAAGUUGUUUCUCAAGAAAGAUUUGUUCGGACUUAAGAUGGAAGAAAACGGAGAUUUGAGAGAUCAUCUAAAUCGUUUUAAUGGGUUGAUCAACCAGCUGAAUAAUUUGGAUGAAAAAUUAAAGGAUGAGGACAAAGCCAUUCUUUUACUUGUUUCCCUACCAUAUAAGUAUAAUAAUGUGAUUACUUCUUUAAUGGUUGGAAAAACGAAGUUAACUUUGGAUGAGACUACUGUUGUUAUUCUUGAAGCUGAAAGAUUGAUGAAGCAAGGAUCGGGUGAUACAUCGGACGGAAGUGCACUUAUGAUGGAUGCAUAUAACAAGAAAAAGAAGUUUGAUAAGAAACAUAACCCUAAUAUCAAGUGCUUUUAUUGUGAAGAAUUGGGCCACCAUCAAUUCAUAUGUCCAAAAGCAAGAGAAGACUUAAAGGAGUUAAAGAAAAUUCGAGAGAAGGGUAGUGCUUCGCUUGUUGAGACGGUUGAUGAUGCUCUUUUGGUUCAAGAAGACAAGGGAUCAAAAGAAGAAUGGGUACUUGACUCGGGAUGUUCUCAUCACAUAUGUGCUAGGAGGGAGUGGUUCUCGUCCUAUAAGGAUUGUGAGGGAAAGAUGAUAGCUUUACCAAAUGGUAAAACGAUAAAAGUUACCGGCGUUGGUGAGAUAACAAUGAAACUUCAUAAUGGUCGUAUUCGAAAAUUAGCUCAAGUAAGGUAUGUACCGGAGCUAAAUCGAAAUCUAAUUUCAUUGGGUAAAUUAGUUGAUUUGGGAUGUACUGUCAUGAUGAAGAACGGUUGUUUGGAGGUCACCAAACAAGAAUUGGUGAUACUCAAAGGUUGGAAGGAUAAGAGAAAUCUUUUUAUGCUAGAUGGAGAGGUUGUUACUCAAGGGGAGGCUUUGGCGGAUGGACGUCAACGUCUUCAUGGUGAUCGUUAAAAAAAAAAAAAAAAUUUUGAAACCGUAUUGGGUUGAAGGGGAGGAUUGUUGGGUAUCAACCCAAUAGGAAUAGGAUUCUGAUUUGAGUUAGAAAUUAGAAUUGGAUUAGGAUUAUGAUUAGGUAUAUUAGAGUUAGAUUCUGAUUUGUCUAAGUUUGAUGGCUAUAUAUACAUAGUCAUAUUGUUUGAUAGGUAUGCUUGAGUAUUGGUAGGCUUGAGUAUCCUAGCUUGGUGGAUUGUAUUAUUGAUAACGGUUUUGAUUAAUAAUACAAGUUGGGACGUGGAUUUUCUGCGUCAUAUAAUUUUGUGUGUGUGCUUUGUAUUAGAAGAUUGAUCUCGUAUAUUAUUCCUAACAAUCUUUGUCUUCGAGAGUUGAAUAAAAAGCUGUUCCAGUUGUCUUCGAGGUGUUGGAAAUUUAGUUUCUGUUUUUCGUUUUUGGUAUUUUCUAAUUAGGUGCAGUUUAGUCUUUAAGAAUAAUUGCGAGUUCCACAAUUGGUUUCGACUCUCAAAUAAUUAUCAAUUCAAACUAGCAAAUAUUUUGCUACUUUUCGACUCGCAAAUUUUGCGUCUACUUUGCAAAAUAAAAUAAAAUAAUAAUAAUUUGAGUCUACUUCUGAAAGGCAAUUAAGUAUGAGAUCUCCCUUUUCACAAUGAUGCGUUGUUCUAUGGUUUUGAUCAACAAAUAUUGUGGUGAAAUUGCAGGAGGAGGCCCUUAACAUACCUGAGGCAGUGGAGAAGCUUCUAAACGUUUAUGCUACACGGUUUAACGAGAUUAAGACCCCUCGUAAGCUACUUUGGAAGAAAAAUCUUGGUACUGUCAAGGUUAGAUGCUAUUCUAUUUCUAUAGAUGACUGCCACUACUUGGAGUUGAGAGUGUGUAGGCUGAAUUAAAUUGCAUUGUUAAAAAUUACAGUUGGAAUUGCAAUUUGAAGACAGAGAGAUUCAGUUCACAGUCACCCCUAUACAGGCUUCAAUUAUUAUGAAAUUUCAAGAACAGACAAGGUUUGCUUAUCAUAGUACCAUAGUACUGUAUUCAGAAAUCUUAUUUUUGGCUUAUUGUGAGAGCUUUACAUGAUAAUCAUAAUAUGAGUUUCAUCUUCAGUUGGACCUCAAAGGAUCUUGCAGCUGCUAUUGGGGUGCCAGUUGAUGUACUUAGUAGGAGAAUUAGCUUUUGGAUAAGCAAGGUUAGUUCUACUGUACCGAUUAAUGCACUUUUCUUCAUUUUUCUCAGUGUUAGUUGGCACUAUAUAUAUGCCUUCUGUAUUUGGAAGUGUCGUAUGUUGAUAUGGAUUCUGGUCAUUUUCCAGGGCAGAUUUCCAUUUAUUGAUAUUUUAAGUAACAUAUUUUUGCAUUUGUAAAUUGAAGCAGUUAUUUUAUCUUAGUUUUGGCUGUUCCAUGACAUCAGAAGGUGCAAAUAUAUAUAUAUUAAGUCAUUAUUUCCUUACAAAAGGACAAAAAUGUCCUGUGUCGUUCAAUAUUGACAUAAUAGUUAUCAAAUCUAGAAUAAAAUCCUAAUAUGAACUUUGUUAUGUCUGUCAAUUAGGGAAUUCUGGCAGAGUCCUUUGAAAAUGAUUCUAGUGAACAUGUAUUCACCCUGGUAGAUGAAAUGAUUGAUAGUGGCAAGACUGUUAUCAGUAGUGGAAAUUGCGAGGAUCUGGCUGCAGAUGAGGAUGGAGAUAGGUCUGUGGCGACAGUUGAGGAUCAAUUACGUAAAGAAAUGACGGUGUACGAGGUAUGUCAUGCAUGCACUUAUUAAUUACUACUUUAAUACCAGGAGCAUUCAAAAUUGAAAAUUUGACAUUGCAAUAUUAUUUGCAGCUUAUGUAAAGUAUAGUAGUACUAGUAAUGGUAUAUUUAUCUAGAGGAAAGUAUUAAGAUGUUGAACUUUAACACCAGAAGGCUUCGUAAAGCAUUCAUUUUUAGCUUUUUCACAAUAUUUUGUUAUCCAACUCUUUCAGCUACAAUUCUGACUGAAUUUGGUUUUGGACUUCAGAAAUUUAUUACAGGGAUGCUGACCAAUUUUGGAAGCAUGGCAUUGGAUCGAAUCCACAAUACUCUCAAGGUAAACAACUUCUAACUUAAUGCUCAGAUGAAUACUGGUUUAGGUAGGUAUCACCCAAGUACUAGUACUAAUACAAAUAAGUCAUAUUAUUUGUGCAGAUGUUUUGCACAGCUGAUCCCACUUAUGACAAAUCACUCCAGCAACUUCAAAGCUUUCUAUCUGGUCUUGUUGCAGAAGAGAAGUUAGAAAUAAGAGAUGGAAUGUACCUUUUGAAGAAGUAGGUGAUGAUGGAAUUGCAAUUUAUAUAAAUUUUCCAUCAUAAAAUCAGGUGAAUUACAAUUGCACAACUACUUUAUAAGCUUGCAUAUCUCCUUGCUGAAAUGCAGGAUAUCCAGGUGUAAAUGGGUAUAAUUACCAGUUAGUGUUUCUAUAAAACUAAAAAUUUUGGUUUUGUACUGGAAAGUGUUUACAUUUCUACAUUGGAUUACAGACCUUCAAGGAAGCAACUACGUAUACCGAGGGGUUCUGUAAUGGAACUAAUUAUGUGUUUAACAACAUUGAAACAGGUUGCAUGAUCCAACGGUACUGGUACAAUGAAAUGAUAAAACUUAAGUGUUACAAAAGAAUAGAAUAAAGCAUGUCCUGAUAUUGAUGGUACAAGUAGCAAUUUGGUUGUGUGUGACAAAGUAAUGAAAACAUCUGUUUUUUGUGGAGUUUCAGCUACAAUAAACCUGGAAGUGUUUCAUAUCAUUUCAAAUGAUAUAUCGAAACUUGGUUAACUUCACCAUUAACAGUAAUAUUGUAGUGUAAAAUUAGAGCAGACUACUCCAUAAUCAAGAGCUCAAAAUGCAGGGCACUCCAUGAAAUCCGAGCAUGUAACACCACAUAAAUGCAGGGGAGGGGCGAAAUUAUCACGGUCCUUGUGCAAAACUACGAACUAGGGGUUAAAUUUUUUCCAAAUAAAAUGUACUUCGAAGUCGCAUUCUAAACAAGAAGUAUACUCAAAAAAUCAAAAUUCGACUAAAGUCUAAAGGUACGCUCUUCUUGCAUAUUUUAUAGAAAAAUCAUCAAUAAUGAUUUUAAAAUGUAUAAUUAACUUUCCUUUGUUAAAUUUCAAUAUGAAUAUAUGCAUGAAUUAAUAAAUUUGGGGUUAAUUAACCGUCCCUGUAAAAAUGGUUUUAAAACAAAUGAAGUAUAUGUAAGCAACUUAUAUAUGAAGUUAAUAAAUUUAUCUCAUCUUCCAAAAAUGGGUUUAAAACAAAUGAAGUAUAUGUAGGCAACUUAUAUAUGAAGUUAAUAAAUUUAUCUCAUCUUCCAAAAAUGGGUUUAAAACAACUGAAGUAUAUGUAGGCAACUUAUAUAGGUUUGAACGUAGCCAACAAUCUAUUAUGUUGUCUCUGGCUCUGAUAAAGAGUAUUAAAGCCGAACUGAACCCUGAUAAACUGAGUUUGUAUUUGCAAUUGGCUAGACUCAAACUCCGAUUACCGGACUAUUGAAUGAUUCCUGUGAUCACAAUUACGACCUGAAGGUUUGAUGAUCUCGCUGAGAUUACUUGCACAUUUAGCAAAAUAUGACGGAAGAUAUAAUAAAUCAUCUAUUAAGCGGGAUAUACGAGAUAUGUUUGACUUGGUAUUAAUUAUCUGUAUUAUGUACGAAGCUCAACCUUAUAAUUUCUUGUUUAUUUAACAUUGUAACUGAAAUUCAGAAAAAAUCUCACAUCAAACUAACAUGACACAGUAUGAAAGGCUUGAACCAGUAUGCACAAGAAAAUUAGGUUGAUGACACCAAGAAUAUGAAACAUUUAAUAAAGAACACAACAUUAAAAGAUUGCUCACAUGUAUAUAGCUACUUCCAUUAGCAACUAUAUCUUAACUACUGCUUCUUUACCACAUCUACUCUUUAUAUAAUAACAACCAUGCCAAUCAUAUAAUCUAUGUCUUGUAAAUUUCAUCAACCCAACUUUAUUUCAGAUGAAAGAUCAGCUGAGCUUUUCAGCUUUUACAAGAGAUGAAUCCAACAUGGGAAUGAUAAUGGUAGUAGCUUCCAUGAUUUUGUCAUGGCUUUUCAUCUACAGAUGGAACCAGAGAACGAAAAAAGGCCCAAAAACAUGGCCAUUGGUGGGAGCUGCCAUCGAACAACUGAUGACUUAUGAUACAAUGCAUGAUUGGCUAGUAAAAUAUCUUGAAGAGUCAAGAACUGUGGUGGUGCCGAUGCCAUUUACAACAUAUACUUACAUUGCUGAUCCUGCCAACGUCGAACAUGUGCUGAAGACAAAUUUUGCUAAUUACCCGAAGGUGAAAGUAUCGACUCCUUUUUAUUACUUAGUCUAGAGUUUUUUUCUAUGAGAAACUCAUGAAAAGACUUUGUUUAUUUUAUAGGGUGAUGUAUACCACUCAUACAUGGAAGUAUUGCUUGGAGAUGGUAUAUUUAAUGUAGAUGGAGAGCUUUGGAGGAAACAGAGGAAGACAGCAAGCUUUGAAUUUGCUUCUAAGAACUUGAGAGAUUUCAGCACACUAGUUUUCAGAGAAUAUAGCCUCAAACUCUCUGAUAUUCUGAGUCAAGCAUGUUUUCAGAAUCAAGAAGUAGACUUGCAGGUGACUCCUGAGAAACCCUCAGAUUAUGUAUCCAUGACUAAGUUAAAAUUUUGUUUUGACAGGUGUUAAAGAUUUCCUCUUUUGUAGGAAUUAUUAAUGAGGAUGACUUUGGACUCCAUCUGCAAGGUGGGAUUUGGUGUUGAAAUUGGAACACUAGCUCCUCAUCUACCAGAAAACCGUUUUGCGCUGGCAUUUGACACUGCAAACAUAACUGUUACCCUACGAUUUAUAGAUCCUUUAUGGAAAGUGAAGAAGUUCCUCAAUGUGGGCUCAGAAGCUGUUUUAGACAAGAGCAUUAAAAUCAUAGAUGAUUUUACUUAUUCGGUUAUCCGCAGGAGAAGGGCGGAAAUAGAAGCUGAAAAGAUUAAUAAAAUGGACAAGGUAUAUGAUUUAGCUCCUGAUCAUUAUUCCUAUGCUAUUCCACCAUUUAAAUUAUAUACUUGACAACAAUUUCAGGUAAAGAACGAUAUACUGUCGAGGUUCAUUGAACUAGGAAAAGACCCUGAAAAUAACAUGACUGAGAAAAGCCUCAGAGAUGUUGUCCUGAACUUUGUUAUUGCUGGAAGAGACACCACUGCCACAACUCUGACCUGGGCAAUAUACAUGAUCAUGACACAUGAUAAAGUAGCAGAGAAGCUACACUUAGAUCUCAAAGCUUUUGAAGAAGAGCGGGCUAAAGAAGAGUGUGUGUCAUUACAAUCUUAUGAGACAAAUGACCCUGCAUCUCUCAGUCAGAGACUGAAGCAAUAUGCAGGACUCAUGAAUUAUGACUCACUAGGAAAGCUACACUACUUGCAUGCAGUGAUCACAGAAACACUUCGACUGUACCCUGCGGUCCCUCAGGUAAUUCCAAAACUCAUACAAGAGUAUUAUUGAGAUAGUGAGCCAGCAAUCUUCUUUCUGUAUUUCUAUUCUAAUUUAAAAAUUUCACACACAUUGACCGGAUGAAACAAAACUACGAGUAUCAGGAUCCAAAGGGUAUCUUAGAGGAUGAUAUAUUGCCUGAUGGAACCAAAGUAAAAGCAGGAGGAAUGGUGACUUACGUGCCAUAUUCCAUGGGUAGAAUGGAGUACAACUGGGGUCCUGAUGCAGCUUCAUUUAAACCUGAGAGAUGGCUCAAAGAUGGGAUUUUCCAAAGUGCAUCUCCAUUCAAGUUCACUGCAUUCCAGGUAAAUAUAUGAAGCAAUAAGAAUAUUAAAGUUUGUAUUUAUAUUCGUGAUCAUAAAUCCAUAAUAAUAUAACAGUGGACUACAAUAAUAUAUGCUGGUAAUAUAUUACCUGACCUGGUUACAUAUUUUUCGAUAUGCAGGCUGGUCCGAGGAUUUGCCUAGGAAAGGACUCCGCAUAUCUCCAAAUGAAGAUGGCAGUGGCGAUUUUGUGUAGAUUUUUCAAAUUUGAAUU